rnacentral:misc_RNA from 1 species
AGUAAUCAUUUGACACUAGAAGAAGGGCACAUGGAAUUGGAUCUUCAAAUGGUUGGAAAGGGAAAACAUAGAUCAGAUCAUGAAUGCCAGAUAAUUCGUAACUUUGAAUUCUUUGCAAGCAAAUGCUAUGCAUAAAGCUGAUGAAAUCUAGAAAGUGGUAGAUUCCAUUUCCAAGGAAAAGGUAAUGUUGUCCUCCAUUGAUUCUUGUCCUGGCUCACCAAUAGGGUGCAUGAAGGAUGCUUCAUCUUUCAGCAACCCAGGCUGUUGAUCAAUUUGUAUGCAAUUUUGAGACUUCCUCAAUCCAUCCAGCUCCAUUGCUACUUCUCUCAUUGUAGGCCUCUUUUUCCCAUUCAAUCUCAAACAUCUCACUGCAAGCUUUGCAAUGGCAUGAACAUCUUCUUUCCUUCCUUCUUUGGCAACUCGAGGAUCUAAAAUUUCUAGAAGGCGAUCCUCCUUUGUCGAUGAUAUGAAAUGUGCUACAAGGUUUCUCUCAUCUUCAGAUCUGGCAGAAGAGAUAGGUUUUUCCCCUGCUAGGAGUUCUAUUAGCACAACCCCAAAACUGUACACAUCACUUUUUUCUGUGAAUUGACUUGUGUGGAAGUAUUCAGGAUCUAGGUAACCAAAGGUUCCCUGUACUGCAGUGGUCAGGUGAGUUCUGUCAAAUGGGAUUGAUCUUGAAGUCCCAAAAUCUGAUAUUUUUGCGCCAUAUUUAUCAUCUAGGAGUAUGUUUGAAGGUUUGAUAUCUCUAUGGAAGAUUGGGGAUGAAGCUGCAGAAUGCAUAUAUGCUAUUGCUCCAGCUACUUCACUUGCAAU